GACAGAGGGGGCAAGCGUUGUUCGGAAUUACUGGGCGUAAAGGGCUCGUAGGUGGCCAACUAAGUCAGACGUGAAAUCCCUCAGCUUAACUGGGGAACUGCGUCUGAUACUGGAUGGCUUGAGUUUGGGAGAGGGAUGCGGAAUUCCAGGUGUAGCGGUGAAAUGCGUAGAUAUCUGGAGGAACACCGGUGGCGAAGGCGGCAUCCUGGACCAACACUGACACUGAUGAGCGAAAGCCAGGGGAGCAAACGGG
rnacentral:rRNA from 1 species